rnacentral:rRNA from 1 species
GACGAGCCACACAAACGUUAUUCGGAAUUACUGGGCUUAAAGGGCGCGUAGGCGGCGCGGUAAGUCGGGUGUGAAAUCUCGGAGCUUAACUCCGAAACUGCAUUCGAUACUGCCGUGCUUGAGGACUGGAGAGGAGACUGGAAUUUACGGUGUAGCGGUGAAAUGCGUAGAUAUCGUAAGGAAGACCAGUGGCGAAGGCGGGUCUCUGGACAGUUCCUGACGCUGGGGCACGAAGGUCAGGGGAGCAAACGGG